rnacentral:rRNA from 1 species
GAUGAACGCUGUCUACAGGCUUAACACAUGCAAGUCGAGGGGAAACGACGGGGAAGCUUGCUUCCCCGGGCGUCGACCGGCGCACGGGUGAGUAACGCGUAUCCAACCUGCCUCUGACUGAGGGAUAACCCGUCGAAAGUCGGCCUAAUACCUCAUGGCAUCGUCUGCGGGCAUCCAACGACGAUUAAAGAUUUCAUCGGUCAGGGAUGGGGAUGCGUCUGAUUAGCUUGUUGGCGGGGUAACGGCCCACCAAGGCUACGAUCAGUAGGGGUUCUGAGAGGAAGGGCCCCCAUAGUGGAGCUGAAACACGGUCCAAACUCCGACGGGAGGCAGCAGGGAAGAAUGUUGGACAAGGGGCGGGAGCCUGAACCGGCCAAGUGGGGGGGAGGGUGGCGGCCCUAUGGGUUUGAAACUUCUUUUGUGGGGGGAGAAAGUGGGGGACGUGUCCUUCUUGGCGGGAGCCGGAUAAAAAAGGACGGGUAAAUUCGUG